UCUUAUGGAUAAGCAAAGAAAAUAGUUCCUUGAGAUGGAACCUAAUCCUGAUGAAGAUGUUGUGAA
rnacentral:pre_miRNA from 3 species